GGAUUAGUACGUUGGUCGUGCCUUCGGUACGUACUGGUGUUACUGAUUCCUACCUUCUGACGAACCAUCAUGUCAUUAAUUUGGUGUGGCGGGGAAUCAGGACUGUUACUUUGAAAAAAUUAGAGUGUUUAAAGCAGGCUCGCGCUUGAAUACAUUAGCAUGGAAUAAUGAAAUAGGACGUUGACCCUAUUUUGUUGGUUUCUAGGAUUGACGUAAUGAUUAAUAGGGAUAGUUGGGGGCAUUAGUAUUCAAUUGUCAGAGGUGAAAUUCUUGGAUUUAUUGAAGACUAACUACUGCGAAAGCAUUUGCCAAGGAUGUUUUCAUUAAUCAAGAACGAAAGUUAGGGGGUCGAAGACGAUCAGAUACGGUCGUAGUCUUAACCAUAAACUAUGCCGACUAGGGAUCGGAUGAUGUUAUUUUUAAUGACUCAUUCGGCGCCUUACGGGAAACCAAAGUGUUUGGGUUCCGGGGGGAGUAUGGUCGCAAGGCUGAAACUUAAAGGAAUUGACGGAAGGGCACCACCAGGGGUGGAGCCUGCGGCUUAAUUUGACUCAACACGGGGAAACUCACCAGGUCCAGACAUAGUUAGGAUUGACAGAUUGAGAGC
rnacentral:rRNA from 1 species